UACGUAGGGUGCGAGCGCUAAUCGGAAUUACUGGGCGUAAAGCGUGCGCAGGCGGUUUUGUAAGCCAGAUGUGAAAUCCCCGGGCUUAACCUGGGAAUGGCAUUUGGGACUGCAAGGCUCGAGUGCGGCAGAGGAGACUGGAAUUCCUGGUGUAGCAGUGAAAUGCGUAGAUAUCAGGAGGAACACCGAUGGCGAAGGCAGGUCUCUGGGCAACAACUGACGCUGAGGAGCGAAAGCGUGGGGAGCGAACAGG
rnacentral:rRNA from 1 species